rnacentral:rRNA from 1 species
AAUACGUAGGGUGCGAGCGUUAAUCGGAAUUACUGGGCGUAAAGCGUGCGCAGGCGGUUUUGUAAGACAGAUGUGAAAUCCCCGGGCUUAACCUGGGAACUGCGUUUGUGACUGCAAGGCUAGAGUACGGCAGAGGGGGGUGGAAUUCCUGGUGUAGCAGUGAAAUGCGUAGUGAUCAGGAGGAACACCGAUGGCGAAGGCAGCCCCCUGGGCCUGUACUGACGCUCAUGCACGAAAGCGUGGGGAGCAAACA